CAAAACUCUAAAACUCUUGGUUCUGAAAUUAUACCUUUUGUUAGACAAACUAAGAAAUUGCAAAAAAGCAUCUUUUUUCCACAAGCUUUCGGGCGCACAAGCCCUUUGUCAGGCUCAGGGAAAAGUAAAGAUGGUACAAAGUCCCCAUAGGUAGAAAAUAAGCUUCUUUUUUGUACAGAGGAAGCUGAAGGUGGAAGUAUGUUCCUCUGAGUCCAUGUUAGUGUCUUUGUGAGUUACUCUUUGAUGUGCAGGUAAGGCAGGAUUCCUUCCCUGGUGGUGUCAGA